UCACUUUCCCUUUUCGAUGCUCUCCCUUCGCCUCCACUGUUUUCCCGUUCAAUCUUCGCCGCAGCCUCUGCCACCGUCACAUCAGGAUUCUCCGGCAACUCCGUUGGUUUUCUCCGCUGAACGAUAAAGCACAUUUCGGUCCAAGUAUUCACAAUGAGAGAAGAAGACUCUGUGCAAUAUUGAUGGGUGGAGAUUUUCUAAAGAUUCAUGCAAUUUUGUCCCUUGAUUUGCAAAGGAAGAUGAUAACGCUGAAACAGAGGUUCAAGGGUCUCUACAAAUCAGGAGUUUGAAGAGCUUGAUGUUUAUCAUUCUGCAGCUUUGUAGCCUUGCAACAUUGGUUUUAUUGCUGAUCAAUUUGACACCAACACAGAAAAUGGAAGGGGAAUUUGAGAGCUUCUAUAAUUGGUGAUACUUCACUUUUACCAUUACACUUGUAGCACUCACUAGUUAGGUGGUCAUGAUUUAAAUCACAAUAGGCUUGACUACAUAGGUUCCUUCAUUUAUCAAUAUUGUUCAUAAAGUAACAUCACGAGUGGUAAAACACCAUGGUUUGGUGGUCAUAAUUGAAAUCAUAUUAAGCUUGAAUACUAGAUGUGGAGAAGCUAUUGGACAUAGUAGGCACUAGAUGAAAAGCAACUUGGAGCAACUUGAUCAUACUCUCAUGCUGCUAAUGUCUAAACUUGAGAAUUGAACUUUUAUUAAUUUACUAUUAUUAUCUCAUGUUCAUGGAUAUAUGGUUGCAUUCGCAGACUUAGGUUAGUUCAAUUGAAGCUGCUCAACAAUAACUGAGAAUAAAGAUUACUUUAGUAAUACAUUCUUGUUUGAGAUAGUAGCUUAACUGGUUUCACAUGUGGCUUACUUUAAGGCUAUAUGCUAACAAGUGUCUUGCUGUAAGGUGCUUCAUUUGGUUGAAGGUUUGAUGCUAAUAACUUGUCCUCUGUGUUCAAAUUGAUAAGGGUUACAUAUUUAUUUGAUUGCUUAUGACUUUUAUGUUUUUGUUGUUAAAUUAUGUUUAAAAGGGAUGAAGAUUUGAACCAUUUUCUCACUGAUUUGCUUUAUAUAUCUAAGCUCAGAUGAUACUCCAUCACCUAGCUCUUCUGUCACCAAGAAGAUUAAGCCAUAUGAUGGAGCAGUACAAAGGAGCAUCAUUUGUACAGUUGAGCCCUCACAAUUUUGCUAUAGCAGACAUGUUCUAGUGAGUGUCUCUGUUGGCAGUGUGUUGCACGAGACAACAUUAUUGCAUUGUUCUUUCAUGAGAUAUCUAGCCUAGAACAACUUGUUUUAGAGUUACAUGUACAUUUCAGGUUAAAAUUGCAAUGAUAGGUAUUCUAGGAACAUGCUUUGGACUUGAUUUCUUGAUUUCUGUUCAAUUGGGAUGCCACACUUCAUAAAAGUUUCUUUAUAGUUUCCUUGUGAUAGUUCCUUAUAGUGAGGUUUUGCAAAUCUCAAUAUUAUUAUAUCAUCUUUGAGACUGUGUAGGAGGUGGAUGGAAUAGUUAAACCAAUAAUGGUUUUUUGUUUUCGAGUUAUAGCUCGACAUAUAUCAUUGUGAUACCUGAUGCUUUACAUACAUUUUUUAUAAAUUGUAGCAUUAAAGCUCCAUGUAAGAUUUUAUUAUGAAUGCAUCUUGAAACUUUUAUAGCA